rnacentral:tRNA from 1 species
GUGGGUAUAACUUAGUGGUAGAGCUUGUGCUUAACAUGCAUGAGGUCUUGGGUUCAAUCCCCAGUAUCUCCU